AAUGAACGUUGGCGGCGUGGAUUAGGCAUGCAAGUCGAGCGGGCCAGCAAUGGUCAGCGGCGAAAGGGACAGUAACACGUAGAUUACCUACCCUCAGGUCCGGGAUAGCCACGGGAAACUGUGGAUAAUACCGGAUGAUAUCUCCGGAUCAAAGGUGUGAUUCCGCCGGAGGAUGGGUCUGCGUCCUAUUAGGUUGUUGGUGAGGUAACGGCUCACCAAGCCGAUGAUGGGUAGUGGGUGUGAGAGCACGACCCGCGUCACUGGGACUGAGAUACUGCCCAGACACCUACGGGUGGCUGCAGUCGAGGAUCUUCGGCAAUGGGCGCAAGCCUGACCGAGCGACGCCGCGUGCGGGAUGGAGGCCUUCGGGUUGUAAACCGCUGUCGGAGGGGAUGAAAUGCGUGGGGGUUCUCCCCCAUGUUUGACAUAUCCUCGGAGGAAGUACGGGCUAAGUUCGUGCCAGCCGCCGCAGUAAAAC
rnacentral:rRNA from 1 species